ACACAUGUUUCUCCUUAGUAGAUUUUAACAGCCUUCUCUGGUGAAUAGUCUCUGUUACCUUUUUUUUCUUAAGGGGGAUUCAAAGAAGAGGAAACCAGAAACACUUGUGUUUGCAUUGCACAAGUGGUACUUCACUGCCUUCCAGUCUCUCCUCCACAUAGUUUACAAGGUUGAUUAUGCUUUAACCACCUAUUGUGUGCUUGCUGAGAGUCUAAGCCUUCAUCAUCACCAUCAUCUUGUGUCUUUCAGCUGAAAUCCAUUAAGCAUUAUCACUUGGCAGUUGGCACAGUCACAUAUCAUUAGGCCUAGUUUAUGGUUUUGCAGGGUGCUGGAUGUUGGACCACUAUGCUGUUCAAGGUCUUUGACCUGAUCACUUACCUGGUUUCUAUCGACAAAGAUUUGAGUUGAUCUACACGCGGUUCUUCAUGGCAAAAAAAAUGGCUUUCGGUAUGGGGUGCGUGUUCACGAAGGAUGGUCCAAGGUCCAAAGCCUGUACGCACCAAGGAAGAAUCUUGGGGGGGAUGGAGACGAGCACAGUGUUAUUGUAUGAAGCAAAACUAGAGCUGCUCUGAUUUGGAACACACUGUUUUCUGCGUAGUGAGUGGAGUGUGGGGCAGGAUUAGGAUACAGUGAUCGCCACCCAGAUCAUUUGGCAUUGGUUUGUGUGCGUGUUGGAAGAGCAGGUGACACCACGAAAGGAAAUCUGGUGGAAUCCCUUAUCCUUGGGGAUUGCUGGUGUCAUUCAAAGUACACUUCUAGUCUGCUCCCUCAAACUUUUGUUGCAAUUAGUGUAUUGUUAACUGUUAUUUUCAGUGAGAGAAUCAUAUGAAUGCCUUAUUUGUCUGUCUACAGCUGAUGGUGCAUUCCGCCUUGAUCUAAUCUAGAUACCCAAUCAACCACU
rnacentral:lncRNA from 7 species